GGGUCCCACCAGAAAUGCAGGUUGAAGCAAAUUCUGAGAGAAGAGUGAAAAUAUUGGGGAUUGAUAGGAGCGAAAACAGUCCAGUCUUAACGUAAGUUACAGUACAUCAAUUAUAAAAAAGAAAAAUAAAAAUUUCAGUUACAUGGAAACAGAAGAUGACCCUAAUUUUCGGAAUUCAAAAUUGGCUGCAGCCCCUCACACAGUGCACAUGAUGGAUUCGGGAUUCUUGGUAAUUGUUAUCUCAGUAGAUGAAUUUCUCAUUUGAAAUUAUAGGCAAUCAACAGACAAUGCCUUGUCAAAGGGAAAGCUAUUCUUGCACGAGAGCCAAAAAGUUCCAACGAACACAUGAUUGAUGAUUUACCGAAGCAUGCACAUGAUCAGCACACUCUUUCCAUUCUGCGAGAUUUCAUCGAUCAACUGAAACUUCACAACGUCUACGAGAUCAACUUCUACGAUCCGGUUAGUUAUCAGGAUUUUUUAGAUACUGAACGAUCAAAAUAAAUUGAACACAAUACUUGACAGCUGACAUCUUAGGCUUUAAUAAUCUGUAAUUUGGUUUCAGCAAAAAAUUCCUCGUGAGUCUGAAAAUUUUCAUUUCAAAAUUAAGUGCUGAGUGUUAACCAAUAAAUACACUGAAUUUAGUGCUAAAUUUCCAGAUGAAAAUUUGGAUGUUCUGCCUGAAGAUAACAAAUUCUGAAAGCCGAAAAUGUCAGCUGCCAAAUAUUUUGAUCAAAUAAUUUUGAUUUCUCCGUAAAGUUAGAACAUUUUCCAAUAAGUUUAUAAUAUAGUGGUUUUACAAGUUUGGUGCUCAAUCCCCAACCCCCCCCCCCCCCCCCCAAUCGCCAGAAAUCGCUAGAAUACGCGUUGCCAAUUAUCCUUCAAUUCUAAUAGCAUUAAUUAAAGAAAAAUUUCAGUUGGACUCUAGUGGCAAACUUGCCGUCAUCCCAAUGCUUAUUGCUUUAUGGAAAUGCAUGCUUGCCUCAGAAACUGAUAUAUGUAAGCACUCUCACUAUAAAAUCUAUUUUUUAAUAAGUGAUUUCAGGCGAUCAAGAAGUAUUAAAGUCGAUUAUGAACUCUGUAAUCGCCAAGUUCGAGCUGCAAAUUCCAUGCAAAAAUGCAGUGAUUGAUGCUACUCUUUCUGGAAGUCGAGAAGAAGUGCACAUUAUUGCAGAAGACGGAAGUUUAGAAAACUCAAAGUAAGAAAACAUGAAAAUAAACUUACCAAAACAAGUUUUUUUUUAGCGGGACAACGGAGCAUUUCAACAAAAAACACGACCUCGUAUUUGUGAAAACGGAUUUGCACCCAGAAGAUUUCACACCACAAAUGUUUCCCUCUCAAGCUAAAGCUAAGCUUCUUCGAGAUGCGUUCAACAAUGAGGAAGACGAGGAUACGUUUCCCGAUAUUCUAGUUCCAGCAUAUAUGACGGCUCAUUCCAAGAACCGUGUGCGACAAGAAGAUUAUACUUGUCUUGAAGUAGAGUUUGAUAGCCAAGUUGCUCUUGAAAAACUAAUGAACGAACAUGAGCAAGUAGAAGGUUUCGAAGUUCAACAAGGAGGAAUCUUAGUGGCGUUGAAGAAAGACUCAUUUUUCGACGACGAGCUGAUUGAAAAAAUUGCU
rnacentral:sRNA from 1 species